CUGCACUUCGGGAUAAGCCUGGGAAACUGGGUCUAAUACCGGAUAGGACCUUUAGGCGCAUGUCUUUAGGUGGAAAGCUUUUGCGGUGUGGGAUGGGCCCGCGGCCUAUCAGCUUGUUGGUGGGGUGAUGGCCUACCAAGGCGACGACGGGUAGCCGGCCUGAGAGGGUGUCCGGCCACACUGGGACUGAGAUACGGCCCAGACUCCUACGGGAGGCAGCAGUGGGGAAUAUUGCACAAUGGGCGCAAGCCUGAUGCAGCGACGCCGCGUGGGGGAUGACGGCCUUCGGGUUGUAAACCUCUUUCACCAUCGACGAAGGUCCGGGUUUUCUCGGAUUGACGGUAGGUGGAGAAGAAGCACCGGCCAACUACGUGCCAGCAGCCGCGGUAAUACGUAGGGUGCGAGCGUUGUCCGGAAUUACUGGGCGUAAAGAGCUCGUAGGUGGUUUGUCGCGUUGUUCGUGAAAUCUCACGGCUUAACUGUGAGCGUGCGGGCGAUACGGGCAGACUAGAGUACUGCAGGGGAGACUGGAAUUCCUGGUGUAGCGGUGGAAUGCGCAGAUAUCAGGAGGAACACCGGUGGCGAAGGCGGGUCUCUGGGCAGUAACUGACGCUGAGGAGCGAAAGCGUGGGGAGCGAACAGGAUUAGAUACCCUGGUAGUCCACGCCGUAAACGGUGGGUACUAGGUGUGGGUUUCCUUCCUUGGGAUCCGUGCCGUAGCUAACGCAUUAAGUACCCCGCCUGGGGAGUACGGCCGCAAGGCUAAAACUCAAAGGAAUUGACGGGGGCCCGCACAAGCGGCGGAGCAUGUGGAUUAAUUCGAUGCAACGCGAAGAACCUUACCUGGGUUUGACAUGCACAGGACGCGUCUAGAGAUAGGCGUUCCCUUGUGGCCUGUGUGCAGGUGGUGCAUGGCUGUCGUCAGCUCGUGUCGUGAGAUGUUGGGUUAAGUCCCGCAACGAGCGCAACCCUUGUCUCAUGUUGCCAGCGGGUAAUGCCGGGGACUCGUGAGAGACUGCCGGGGUCAACUCGGAGGAAGGUGGGGAUGACGUCAAGUCAUCAUGCCCCUUAUGUCCAGGGCUUCACACAUGCUACAAUGGCCGGUACAAAGGGCUGCGAUGCCGCAAGGUUAAGCGAAUCCUUUUAAAGCCGGUCUCAGUUCGGAUUGGGGUCUGCAACUCGACCCCAUGAAGUCGGAGUCGCUAGUAAUCGCAGAUCAGCAACGCUGCGGUGAAUACGUUCCCGGGCCUUGUACACACCGCCCGUCACGUCAUGAAAGUCGGUAACACCCGAAGCCAGUGGCCUAACC
rnacentral:rRNA from 1 species